GAAGCCUGCCAGGCCGCCGCUGGUGCCAUGGCACUGGAGGAACGUCCGGACUGCACAGGGCAGCGUAGCAGCUAACGGCUGUCCGCCGAAGACCACGGGGAACCUUCGGGAUUUCCUGGGGAAGAAGGCGAGGAUCAGAGCAACAGAGACGAGUCGCCGCCGCAAGCCGGUGGUGGGUGAAACGGGCAAUCUCUACGCGCAGCAAUACCAAGUAGGCACGCGCCGACGGUGCCCCCCGAGCGUGCGGGUAGGUAGCAUUGAGCGCCUGGGUGACCAGACGCCCAGAGGAAUGGCGGUCACGCUGGGGUUUCCCCCGGCGCACAGAAUCCGGCGUAUCGGCAGGCUUCACAC
rnacentral:RNase_P_RNA from 2 species